UCCCUUGUGGCUCAGAUGGUAAAGCGUCUGCCUACAAUGCAGGAGACCUGGGUUCGAUCCCUGGAUCAGGAA
rnacentral:tRNA from 1 species